rnacentral:rRNA from 1 species
UACGUAGGGUGCAAGCGUUGUCCGGAAUUAUUGGGCGUAAAGAGCUCGUAGGCGGUUUGUCGCGUCUGCUGUGAAAAUCCAGGGCUUAACCCUGGACCUGCAGUGGGUACGGGCAGACUAGAGUGCGGUAGGGGAGAUCGGAAUUCCUGGUGUAGCGGUGAAAUGCGCAGAUAUCAGGAGGAACACCGGUGGCGAAGGCGGGUCUCUGGGCCGAGACUGACGCUGAGGAGCGAAAGCGUGGGGAGCAAACAGG